UUCCUACGGGAGGCAUCAGUGGGGAAUAUUGCACAAUGGGCGAAAGCCUGAUGCAGCAACGCCGCGUGAGCGAUGAAGGCCUUCGGGUCGUAAAGCUCUGUCCUCAAGGAAGAUAAUGACGGUACUUGAGUAGGAAGCCCCGGCUAACUACGUGCCAGCAGCCGCGGUAAUACGUAGGGGGCUAGCGUUAUCCGGAAUUACUGGUCGUAAAGGGUGCGUAGGUGGUUUCGUAAGUCAGAUGUGAAAGGCUACGGCUCAACCGUAGUAAGCCUUUGCAACU
rnacentral:rRNA from 1 species